rnacentral:rRNA from 1 species
GCGCGAAAACUUUACAAUGCUGGCAACAGCGAUAAGGGAACCUCAAGUGCCAGGUUACAAAUCUGGCUGUCGAGAUGCCUAAAAAGCAUUUCAUAGCAAGGGCCGGGCAAGACCGGUGCCAGCCGCCGCGGUAACACCGGCGGCUCGAGUGGUAACCGUUAUUAUUGGGUCUAAAGGGUCUGUAGCCGGCCGGAUAAGUCUCUUGAGAAAUCUGGCAGUUUAACUGUCAGGCUUUCAGGAGAUACUGUCUGGCUCGAGGCCGGGAGAGGUGAGAGGUACUUCAGGGGUAGGGGUGAAAUCUUGUAAUCCUUGAAGGACCACCAGUGGCGAAGGCGUCUCACCAGAACGGACCUGACGGCAAGGGACGAAAGCUGGGGGCACGAACCG